rnacentral:rRNA from 1 species
UACAGAGGUCCCAAGCGUUGUUCGGAUUCAUUGGGCGUAAAGGGUGCGUAGGCGGCGCGGUAAGUCGGGUGUGAAAUCUCGGAGCUUAACUCCGAAACUGCAUUCGAUACUGCCGUGCUUGAGGACUGGAGAGGAGACUGGAAUUUACGGUGUAGCGGUGAAAUGCGUAGAUAUCGUAAGGAAGAACCAGUGGACGAAGGCGGGUCUCUGGACAGUUCCUGACGCUGAGGCACGAAGGCCAGGGGAGCAAACGGG